rnacentral:rRNA from 1 species
AGGAUAGCCAUGCGAGUCACAUAGCAAUAUGUGGCAUACGGCUCAGUAACACGUAGUCAACAUGCCCAGGGGACGUGGAUAACCUCGGGAAACUGAGGAUAAACCGCGAUAGGUCAUCACUUCUGGAAUGGGUAAUGACUUAAAUCUAUAUGGCCCCUGGAUUGGACUGCGGCCGAUCAGGCUGUUGGUGAGGUAAUGGCCCACCAAACCUGUAACCGGUACGGGCUCUGAGAGGAGGAGCCCGGAGAUGGGCACUGAGACAAGGGCCCAGGCCCUAUGGGGCGCAGCAGGCGCGAAACCUCUGCAAUAGGCGAAAGCUUGACAGGGUUACUCUGAGUGAUUUCCGUUAAGGAGAUCUUUUGGCACCUCUAAAAAUGGUGCAGAAUAAGGGGUGGGCAAGUCUGGUGUCAGCCGCCGCGGUAAUACCAGCACCCCGAGUGGUCGGGACGUUUAUUGGGCCUAAAGCAUCCGUAGCCGGUUCUACAAGUCUUCCGUUAAAUCCACCUGCUUAACAGAUGGGCUGCGGAAGAUACUAUAGAGCUAGGAGGCGGGAGAGGCAAGCGGUACUCGAUGGGUAGGGGUAAAAUCCGUUGAUCCAUUGAAGACCACCAGUGGCGAAGGCGGCUUGCCAGAACGCGCUCGACGGUGAGGGAUGAAAGCUGGGGGAGCAAACCGGAUUAGAUACCCGGGUAGUCCCAGCUGUAAACGAUGCAGACUCGGUGAUGAGUUGGCUUAUUGCUAACUCAGUGCCGCAGGGAAGCCGUUAAGUUUGCCGCCUGGGGAGUACGGUCGCAAGACUGAAACUUAAAGGAAUUGGCGGGGGAGCACCACAAGGGUGAAGCCUGCGGUUC